rnacentral:rRNA from 1 species
CCUACGGGUGGCAGCAGUGAGGAAUAUUGGUCAAUGGACGCAAGUCUGAACCAGCCAUGCCGCGUGCGGGAAGACGGCUCUAUGUGUUGUAAACCGCUUUUGUACGAGGGUAAACGCAGAUACGCGUAUCUGUCUGAAAGUAUCGUACGAAUAAGGAUCGGCUAACUCCGUGCCAGCAGCCGCGGUAAUACGGAGGAUUCAAGCGUUAUCCGGAUUUAUUGGGUUUAAAGGGUGCGUAGGCGGUCGGAUAAGUUAGCGGUGAAAUCCCGAGGCUCAACUUCGGAAUUGCCUCUGAUACUGUUCGGCUAGAGAGUAGUUGCGGUAGGCGGAAUGUAUGGUGUAGCGGUGAAAUGCUUAGAGAUCACACAGAACACCGAUUGCGAAGGCAGCUUACCAAGCUACUUCUGACGUUGAGGCACGAAAGCGUGGGGAGCGAACAGGAUUAGAUACCCGGGUAGUC